rnacentral:rRNA from 1 species
AUUGAACGCUGGCGGCAUGCUUUACACAUGCAAGUCGAACGGUAACAGGUUAAGCUGACGAGUGGCGAACGGGUGAGUAAUGCAUCGGAACAUGCCCGGUCGUGGGGGAUAACGCAGCGAAAGCUGCGCUAAUACCGCAUACGAUCUGAGGAUGAAAGCGGGGGACCGUAAGGCCUCGCGCGAUCGGAGCGGCCGAUGCCAGAUUAGGUAGUUGGUAGGGUAAAGGCUCACCAAGCCAACGAUCUGUAGCUGGUCUGAGAGGACGACCAGCCACACUGGGACUGAGACACGGCCCAGACUCCUACGGGGGGCAGCAGUGGGGAAUUUUGGACAAUGGGCGAAAGCCUGAUCCAGCAAUGCCGCGUGCAGGAAGAAGGCCUUCGGGUUGUAAACUGCUUUUGUACGGAGCGAAAAGGUCUCCUCUAAUACAGGGGGCUCAUGACGGUACCGUAAGAAUAAGCACCGGCUAACUACGUGCCAGCCGCCGCCGUAA